GUGCGGAUCACUUAUCAAGUGACCUAAUACUUGGAAAUAUAUCAGUAGAGUCUCUGCAUGGAGAUAGAGAACAGAGAGAUCGGGAGAAAGCAUUAGAGAACUUUAAAACAGGCAAAGUGAGAAUACUAAUUGCAACUGAUCUAGCCUCUAGAGGACUUGAUGUCCAUGACGUUACACAUGUCUAUAAUUUUGACUUUCCACGGAAUAUUGAAGAAUACGUACACCGAAUAGGGCGCACAGGAAGAGCAGGGAGGACUGGUGUUUCCAUUACAACUUUGACUAGAAAUGAUUGGAGGGUUGCCUCUGAAUUGAUUAAUAUUCUGGAAAGAGCAAAUCAGAGUAUUCCAGAGGAGCUUGUAUCAAUGGCUGAGAGGUUUAAGGCACAUCAACAGAAAAGGGAAAUGGAAAGAAAAAUGGAAAGACCUCAAGGAAGGCCCAAGAAGUUUCAUUAAUGUCUUCUGUACUAGUGGGGUAGAGAAUUCAAGAUUUUUUAGAAAUAUAGUAAGACGGAAGUAUUGGACAUGUUGACAGUAUGAAG
rnacentral:lncRNA from 1 species